rnacentral:rRNA from 1 species
AUUGAACGCUGGCGGCAUGCUUUACACAUGCAAGUCGAACGGUAACAGGCCGCAAGGUGCUGACGAGUGGCGAACGGGUGAGUAAUGCAUCGGAACGUGCCCAGUCGUGGGGGAUAACGCAGCGAAAGCUGCGCUAAUACCGCAUACGAUCUAUGGAUGAAAGCGGGGGACCGUAAGGCCUCGCGCGAUUGGAGCGGCCGAUGUCAGAUUAGGUAGUUGGUGGGGUAAAGGCUCACCGAGCCAACGAUCUGUAGCUGGUCUGAGAGGACGACCAGCCACACUGGGACUGAGACACGGCCCAGACUCCUACGGGAGGCAGCAGUGGGGAAUUUUGGACAAUGGGCGCAAGCCUGAUCCAGCAAUGCCACGUGCAGGAAGAAGGCCUUCGGGUUGUAAACUGCUUUUGUACGGAACGAAACGGUCCUGGUUAAUACCCGGGGCUAAUGACGGUACCGUAAGAAUAAGCACCGGCUAACUACGUGCCAGCCGCCGCAGUAAUAC